rnacentral:rRNA from 1 species
CCUACGGGUGGCAGCAGUGGGGAAUAUUGGACAAUGGGCGAAAGCCUGAUCCAGCCAUGCCGCGUGUGUGAAGAAGGCCUUCGGGUUGUAAAGCACUUUCAGUGGGGAAGAAAGCCUUGGGGCUAAUACCCUCGAGGAAGGACAUCACCCACAGAAGAAGCACCGGCUAACUCCGUGCCAGCAGCCGCGGUAAUACGGAGGGUGCGAGCGUUAAUCGGAAUUACUGGGCGUAAAGCGCGCGUAGGCGGUCUGAUAAGCCGGUUGUGAAAGCCCCGGGCUCAACCUGGGAACGGCAUCCGGAACUGUCAGGCUAGAGUGCAGGAGAGGAAGGUAGAAUUCCCGGUGUAGCGGUGAAAUGCGUAGAGAUCGGGAGGAAUACCAGUGGCGAAGGCGGCCUUCUGGACUGACACUGACGCUGAGGUGCGAAAGCGUGGGUAGCAAACAGGAUUAGAUACCCCGGUAGAC